rnacentral:rRNA from 1 species
AUGUUGUCUUCUGGGUCCGAGGAGCCACUUGGUGAUAUUGGUGCGCCAUCUACCACCCUGUUGGAUGAGUUCCUAAGCAGUUUCAGUUGCGCGGCGCCGGGGUCCUUGCUCGAAGAACCGAUUCAUGUGCAGAUUGACGGUGCAUCUACUUGUUCCGAGAGGCGCAGUGGACGUUUGGAUAAGAAGAACAGAAACUGCAACAUUCCUACUACCAAGCACGCCGAAUAUAGAUUAGCGGAGGCUUAUGGGGAACUGCCGAAGGGGAUGACACCUAAGAAAGGCUCCGAGGAGGAUGUGCAAGAGAAUAUGAACACUUAUCUCCGGAUGUACAAGAAACUGCUUACGCCGACGUUGAUCCAGGCAAUUCGUGCAUUGGUGGAGGCCAAUGGUUGA